GUUGCUUUGUAUAAGUAUAGAUUUAUUACUUGAACACUCUAUUUAAAAAUCACUGUAGACUUCAUUGUAAAUUAAUUUUGAAUUGCUUGACUCCAUCUUUCACUUGGCACUUUGUAGGAGUCCACUGAAUGAGGAUGUUUUUGCUACCAGAAAGAGAAAGACCAACAGUAAGGACAAAGACAUAACAGAAUUACAAGAACAAAUUCACAGACUCCUCUUACAGCAGGUCUAUGCCAGUGUAAACAAAAUUAAGAAUCCAGGUCAGCAGCUCUGCAUUGAGUCAGUGGCCAAGUCACCAGAUAAGCGAGCGACGGGGACGCGCAUGGGACGGCCCGAUGAGCGGACGCCUCAUCUACCUUCCAGACAUUGAAAAACAAUAGCGUGCCCACAGAGUCUUGUGAAGAUUGGAGAAAAGACCAGCAUAGCCCAUCAUAUCAGCAAAUAAACUGCAUUGACAGUGUUAUCA
rnacentral:lncRNA from 1 species